CCUGGUUGAUCCUGCCAGUAGUCAUAUGCUUGUCUCAAAGAUUAAGCCAUGCAUGUCUCAGUACAGGCCUUUCUAAGGCGAAACCGCGAAUGGCUCAUUAAAUCAGUCAUGAUUCAUUAGAUUAAGCCAAAAAUUUACUUGGAUAACUGUGGUAAUUCUAGAGCUAAUACAUGCAACUGAGCUCCGACCCGGCCGUCAGGCUGGGGAAGAGCGCUUUUAUUAGAUCAAAAACCAAUCGGACUUCGGUCCGUAUCAAAUGAGUUGUGGUGACUCUGAAUAACUUUAGCCGAGCGCAACGGGCUUAGUCCCGGCGCCGUAUCUUUCAAGUGUCUGCCUUAUCAGCUUUCGAUUGUAGGUUAUACGCCUACAAUGGCUGUAACGGGUAACGGGGAAUCAGGGUUCGAUUCCGGAGAGGGAGCCUGAGAAACGGCUACCACAUCUAAGGAAGGCAGCAGGCACGCAAAUUACCCACUCCCAGCUCGGGGAGGUAGUGACGAAAAAUAACGAUGCGGGACUCUUCCGAGGCCUCGCAAUCGGAAUGAGUUCACUUUAAAUCCUUGGACGAGGAUCCACUAGAGGGCAAGUCUGGUGCCAGCAGCCGCGGUAAUUCCAGCUCUAGUAGCGUAUAUUAAAAUUGCUGCGGUUAAAAAGCUCGUAGUUGGAUCUCUGAUUUGGACCGGCGGCCCACUCAAGGAUAGCCCUCGCUGACAAUGGGAGGCGCUUUACGUUCGCUUCGGCGCCUCGGACGGGCGUGGCCACCCUCAUCGAGGUAGUGAUCGCGUUCCGCACGGGGGUCAAACGCCGUUGCGACGUGGGCUCUCUUACAGGCGGGUAAGCGAUCCCGGUGGUUCACUGUCCGGCUCCGGAUUGAAAAUGCCGUCGGCUCGCACGGGGUGCUCUUCACCGAGUGUCCCGCGUGGCCGACAAGUUCACUUUGAAAAAAUUAGAGUGCUCAAAGCAGGCAAUAACUCACGCCUGAAUGGUGUUGCAUGGAAUGAUAGAACAGGACCUCGGUUCUGUCCUUUUUAUUGGUUUUCUGAACCCGAGGUAAUGAUUAACGGGAACAGACGGGGGCAUUAGUAUUGCGACGCUAGAGGUGAAAUUCUUGGACCGUCGCAAGACUAACUACUGCGAAAGCAUUUGCCAAGAAUGUUUUCAUUAAUCAAGAACGAAAGUUAGAGGAUCGAAGGCGAUCAGAUACCGCCCUAGUUCUAACCAUAAACGAUGCUAACUGGCGAUCCGUCGGCGUCAUUCCCACGACUCGACGGGGAGCCCCCGGGAAACCAAAGUCUUUGAGUUCCGGGGGAAGUAUGGUUGCAAAGCUGAAACUUAAAGGAAUUGACGGAAGGGCACCACCAGGAGUGGAGCCUGCGGCUUAAUUUGACAACACGGGGAAACUCACCAGGCCCGGACACCGAAAGGAUUGACAGAUUGAGAGCUCUUUCUUGAUCCGGUGGGUGGUGGUGCAUGGCCGUUCUUAGUUGGUGGAGCGAUCUGUCUGGUUGAUUCCGAUAACGAACGAGACUCUACCCUGCUAACUAGUCGUCGGGGGACCUUCCCGAGGUUAAC
rnacentral:rRNA from 1 species